rnacentral:rRNA from 1 species
CUACGGAGGGUGCGAGCGUUAAUCGGAAUCACUGGGCGUAAAGGACGCGUAGGCGGGUUGGCAAGUCAGAUGUGAAAUCCUACAGCUUAACUGUAGAACUGCAUUUGAAACUGCUAACCUAGAGUAUGGGAGGGGGAGAUGGAAUUAGUGGUGUAGGGGUAAAAUCCGUAGAUAUCACUAGGAAUACCGAAAGCGAAGGCGAUCUCCUGGAACAUAACUGACGCUAAGGCGUGAAAGCGUGGGGAGCAAACAGGAUUAGAUACCCCAGUAGUCC